rnacentral:rRNA from 1 species
GAUGAACGCUGGCGGCGUGCCUAAUACAUGCAAGUCGAGCGAACGGACGAGAAGCUUGCUUCUCUGAUGUUAGCGGCGGACGGGUGAGUAACACGUGGAUAACAUACCUAUAAGACUGGGAUAACUUCGGGAAACCGGAGCUAAUACCGGAUGAUAUUUUGAACCGCAUGGUUCAAAAGUGAAAGACGGUCUUGCUGUCACUUAUAGAUGGAUCCGCGCUGCAUUAGCUAGUUGGUAAGGUAACGGCUUACCAAGGCAACGAUGCAUAGCCGACCUGAGAGGGUGAUCGGCCACACUGGAACUGAGACACGGUCCAGACUCCUACGGGAGGCAGCAGUAGGGAAUCUUCCGCAAUGGGCGAAAGCCUGACGGAGCAACGCCGCGUGAGUGAUGAAGGUCUUCGGAUCGUAAAACUCUGUUAUUAGGGAAGAACAUAUGUGUAAGUAACUGUGCACAUCUUGACGGUACCUAAUCAGAAAGCCACGGCUAACUACGUG